rnacentral:rRNA from 1 species
UACGAAGGGGGCUAGCGUUGCUCGGAAUCACUGGGCGUAAAGGGUGCGUAGGCGGGUCUUUAAGUCAGGGGUGAAAUCCUGGAGCUCAACUCCAGAACUGCCUUUGAUACUGGAGAGCUUGAGUCCGGAAGGGGAGAGUGGAAUUCCUGGUGUAGCGGUGAAAUGCGUAGAGAUGCGGAGGAACACCGAUGGCGAAGGCAGCCCCCUGGGCCGACACUGACGCUCAGGCACGAAAGCGUGGGGAGCAAACAGG